GAAAAGCUCAAAUCCACACCCAGAGAGACCAGCACCUCACAUGUGCAUCCUCCUGAAAGAGCAGAUCUAGGGGAAGACGAACUGUUCAAGUCAUCGUUCCUGCACCUGUUCAGCUCGUUUCCUGUGAGGCAGAGAAGUGACGCGAGAAGUUUAGUUCAACCAUCUGUGAAAACUUUUUCUGCAGUUGAACCACAAUGAAGAUGUGUGUAUUGUUUUUAAUGACCAUCUUCCUGUUGCUGAGUCAAGCUCAAAGCGGAUCUAUUAACACAACUCCAAACAUCAAUAUGUCCUGGUACAGAAGCAGAGGGAUCCGACCAGUGGGAAGAUUUGGACGAAAAGUCAUGGAGAAAAGU